rnacentral:rRNA from 1 species
GACGAACGCUGGCGGCGUGCUUAACACAUGCAAGUCGAACGCUAAAGCCGCGCCGGUGGGGGAUGAGUGGCGGACGGGUGAGUAACAAGCGGGCAACUUGCCCGCGGCUCAGGGAGAAAUAAAAGAAGGAGAGGCGAAUACAGGCCGGGACGGAGGGCCGCAUGGAUGGGGGGGGGUAAGGUUUUCCGGCGGGGGGUGGGCCCGCGGCGUAUCAGCUUGUUGGUGGGGUAGUGGCUUACCAAGGCGUCGACGGGUAGCCGGCCUGAGAGGGUGACCGGCCACACUGGGACUGAGACACGGCCCAGACUCCUACGGGAGGCAGCAGUGGGGAAUAUUGCGCAAUGGGCGGAAGCCUGACGCAGCGACGCCGCGUGGGGGAUGACGGCCUUCGGGUUGUAAACCUCUUUCGCCAGUGACGAAGCGCAAGUGACGGUACCUGCUGAAGAAGCACCGGCCAACUACGUG